CACGUAGGGCGCGAGCGUUGUCCGGAAUUAUUGGGCGUAAAGAGCUCGUAGGCGGCCUGUUGCGUCCGCUGUGAAAGCCCGGGGCUUAACCCCGGGUCGGCAGUGGAUACGGGCAGGCUAGAGGUAGGUAGGGGAGAAUGGAAUUCCCGGUGUAGCGGUGAAAUGCGCAGAUAUCGGGAGGAACACCGGUGGCGAAGGCGGCAUCCUGGACCGGCACUGACGCUGAGGAGCGAAAGCCAGGGGAGCAAACGGG
rnacentral:rRNA from 1 species